rnacentral:sRNA from 1 species
CCCAGGGCUGCGCCCUGGGCUAAUAUGGCCUGCCCUUUCAGGGCA